UACGGAGGGUGCAAGCGUUGUUCGGAAUUACUGGGCGUAAAGCGGGUGUAGGCGGCCUCGCAAGUCAGGUGUGAAAUCCCUGGGCCCAACCCAGGAACUGCACUUGAUACUGCUUGGCUCGAGUCCCGGAGAGGAUGGCGGAAGUCCAGGUGUAGAGGUGAAAUUCGUAGAUAUCUGGAGGAACACCAGCGGCGAAGGCGGCCAUCUGGACGGUGACUGACGCUCAGACCCGAAAUCGUGGGGAGCAAACAGG
rnacentral:rRNA from 1 species